rnacentral:rRNA from 1 species
CCUACGGGAGGCAGCAGUGGGGAAUCUUGCACAAUGGAGGAAACUCUGAUGCAGCGACGCCGCGUGAGCGAUGAAGCCCUUCGGGGUGUAAAGCUCUUUCGACGGGAACGCGGUACCCGAAGAAGAAGCUGCGGCUAACUACGUGCCAGCAGCCGCGGUAAUACGUAGGCAGCGAGCGUUGUUCGGAAUUACUGGGCGUAAAGAGUGUGUAGGCGGUGUUCCAAGUCUGGUGUGAAAUCUCCCGGCUCAACUGGGAGGGUGCGCCGGAAACUGGGAUGCUAGAGUGUGGGAGAGGUAAGCGGAAUUCCUGGUGUAGCGGUGAAAUGCGUAGAUAUCAGGAGGAACACCUGUGGUGUAGACAGCUUACUGGACCACACUGACGCUGAGACACGAAAGCGUGGGUAGCAAACAGGAUUAGAUACCCUUGUAGUC